CUUCUUAAACUGGUGUGGAAGGUAGCUGUUCAGCGCCAUAUUGUUCCUUGCUCUCACCUGCUCACCGACCGCCAUCCGUGCUCUCUGGUCGUUUUUGUGCUUUUGUACUGUAUUUUCCCUGCGUGCCUCUCCUGCAGUGGUUCUUGUUACCUCUCGCUAAGGUUCUCUCUCUCUUUGUCCAUCUCCCGUUGCAGUUUGUCUCGCUCAUCAUCUGCGUGCUUUUGGAUGCGGCGAAGCUCUUCGGUCUGAGCUCUCACCAUCUCUGAACGCAACGUGGACAGGGCCUCGGCGUGCUGAAAAAGAUGCUUCAUUAGACGACUCAGCUGGCUCUUGAGCUCCUCCACAUCAGCGCACACACACACCUUGCAGCCCACAUUCAGCAGCUCCUCUGAAACACACACACGCACAUGCACCCCGGCCACCCCGUCCGGAUUAACAGUGUUGUUUUAGUGUCUCAUUAAACCUUUAAUGAUGUCUUUUUGACUGAGGGGGUACCUUCAAAAGUACUGCUAUUGUACCCUUGACAAAACAUACUGGCCCUUGUGGUGGUACAGUCCAAUAGAGAGCCCAAUAGUACCGUGCAGAUUUUACCUUGAGGGACAAUAAUGGAUUCUUACUGCAGCGCUAUAUCUGACGGUGCACCUCAGGCGUCACUCCUAGGCCUAUUACCAGUAAUUUUAACCACGUUUCCACUACACUGCUCCUCCUCCUCAGCAUCAGUCAAAGACACACACUCGCAAAUAAUGAUGGAGAAUGAGCGUCCGUUUCCACUGGACUGUUUUAACUAAAGCACAUAAAAAGUUACAGUUUUCAGAAGCUUGUUUAUUAUUUUUGUGAAAAAAAGAAACAAAAGCCUCUUUCACCCAGAGAUGGUGCAAAAUUGGCACACAACGACAUAACCCAGAUGGCAAAACAAGAGCUAUGAGAUUUGUUUGCAUGUUUGUCACACUUAAAUGUUUCAGAUCAUCAAAAAAUUUUAAUAAUAGUCAAUGACAACACAACUGA